rnacentral:rRNA from 1 species
GUGCCAGCAGCCGCGGUAAUACGUAGGGUGCGAGCGUUGUCCGGAAUUACUGGGCGUAAAGAGCUCGUAGGUGGUUUGUCGCGUUGUUCGUGAAAACUCACAGCUUAACUGUGGGCGUGCGGGCGAUACGGGCAGACUAGAGUACUGCAGGGGAGACUGGAAUUCCUGGUGUAGCGGUGGAAUGCGCAGAUAUCAGGAGGAACACCGGUGGCGAAGGCGGGUCUCUGGGCAGUAACUGACGCUGAGGAGCGAAAGCGUGGGGAGCGAACAGGAUUAGAUACCCUGGUAGUCCACGCCGUAAACGGUGGGUACUAGGUGUGGGUUCCUUCCUUGGGAUCCGUGCCGUAGCUAACGCAUUAAGUACCCCGCCUGGGGAGUACGGCCGCAAGGCUAAAACUCAAAGGAAUUGACGGGGGCCCGCAUCAAGCGGCGGAGCAUGUGGAUUAAUUCGAUGCAACGCGAAGAACCUUACCUGGGUUUGACAUGC